rnacentral:rRNA from 1 species
GACAGAGGGUGCAAACGUUGUUCGGAAUUACUGGGCGUAAAGCGCGUGUAGGCGGCUAUGUAAGUCGGGCGUGAAAUCCCACGGCUCAACCCGUGGAAGUGCACCCGAAACUGCGUAGCUAGAGUCCUGGAGAGGAAGGUGGAAUGCUUGGUGGUAGAGGUGAAAUUCGUAGAUAUCGAGAGGAAUACCUGCGGCGAAAGCGGCCUUCUGGACGAACACUGACACUGAGACACGAAAGCGUGGGGAGCAAACAGG